UGGGGAAUUUUGGACAAUGGGCGAAAGCCUGAUCCAGCAAUGCCGCGUGUGUGAGGAAGGCCUUCGGGUUGUAAAGCACUUUUGUCCGGAAAGAAAUCCUUGGCUCUAAUACAGUCGGGGGAUGACGGUACCGGAAGAAUAAGCACCGGCUAACUACGUGCCAGCAGCCGCGGUAAUACGUAGGGUGCAAGCGUUAAUCGGAAUUACUGGGCGUAAAGCGUGCGCAGGCGGUUUGCUAAGACCGAUGUGAAAUCCCCGGGCUCAACCUGGGAACUGCAUUGGUGACUGGCAGGCUAGAGUAUGGCAGAGGGGGGUAGAAUUCCACGUGUAGCAGUGAAAUGCGUAGAGAUGUGGAGGAAUACCGAUGGCGAAGGCAGCCCCCUGGGCCAAAUACUGACGCUCAUGCACGAAAGCGUGGGGAGCAAAACAGGAUUAGAUACCCUGGUAGUCCACGCCCUAAAACGAUGUCAACUAGUUGUUGGGGAUUCAUUUCCUUAGUAACGUAGCUAACGCGUGAAGUUGACCGCCUGGGGAGUACGGUCGCAAGAUUAAAACUCAAAUGAAUUGACGGGGUCAUAGCUGUUUCCU
rnacentral:rRNA from 1 species